rnacentral:rRNA from 1 species
AGAAUCAACGCUGGCGGCGUGCCUAACACAUGCAAGUCGAACGAGAAAGGGGAGCAAUCCCUGAGUAAAGUGGCGGCCGGGUGAGUAACACGUGACUAACCUACCCUCGAGUGUGGAAUAACAUCGGGAAACCGAUGCUAAUACCGCAUAACAUCGGCGCUUUUAAGAGAUGCCGAUCAAAGGAGCAAUCCGCUUGAGGAGGGGGUCGCGGCUGAUUAGCUAGUUGGCGGGGUAACGGCCCACCAAGGCGAAGAUCGGUAGCCGGCCUGAGAGGGCGCACGGCCACACUGGAACUGAAACACGGUCCAGACUCCUACGGGAGGCAGCAGUGGGGAAUUUUGCGCAAUGGGGGAAACCCUGACGCAGCAACGCCGCGUGGAGGAUGAAGCCCCUUGGGGCGUAAACUCCUUUCGACCAAGACGAUAAUGACGGUACUGGUGGAAGAAGCACCGGCUAACUCUGCGCCAGCAGCCGC